GGUUUGKAAAGAAGGUGACAGAAGAAAGUGAGCACACGUGGUUCUUUUCUUGCAUGAAUCCAUGUCAGAAGCUCUAUGUGUUCAUUCUCUAUCUGUCACCUACCAUCCUUAACC
rnacentral:pre_miRNA from 1 species